CCGUGGACAUGAGAGUGUGUGUUUGUGUGCUGCGUGAACUAUUUUUCCUGCGUAAAACACUUUCCCAUACUGCACCAUUCGCGGUGUUCUUUUUGCUUCAUCGGAGGACGAAUUUUUAUCAUCUAAUUGUUUUGAUGUGUGCUGCUACCGCUAGCUGUUCUCCAAAUCUCUUCAAAUUGCGACACUGUGUGCACAGGCGUUCAAAGUUCAAUUGAUCCUCAAGCACAAAGCCUUCAUACAACACCGCGGUUGAGACGCGCCAAAUCUGAUGACAUCUUUCCUGAACCAAGCAGGCUGUACACGCGCACCACCACGGGCGCCAGCGCGGU